AUCAGAUUAGUUUAUAAAAAACGUUAGUUUGUGGGACUAAAAAAGAACCAUCUUGUUCCUCUGAUU
rnacentral:tRNA from 1 species